rnacentral:rRNA from 1 species
CCUACGGGUGGCUGCAGUCGAGGAUCUUUCGCAAUGGGCGCAAGCCUGACGAAGCGACGCUGUGUGAAUGAUGAAGGCCUUCGGGUCGUAAAGUUCUUUCGCGCAAGAACAAGAGAGGAAAGCUAAUAACUUUCUAAUUUGAGCGUACUGCGUAAAGAAGCACCGGCUAACUCCGUGCCAGCAGCUGCGGUAAUACGGAGGGUGCAAGCAUUAAUCGGAUUUAUUGGGCGUAAAGGGCGCGUAGGCGGAUGUGCAAGUCAGAUGUGAAAUUCCAGGGCUCAACCCUGGAGCUGCAUUUGAAACUGCAUGUCUAUAGAGGGAUGACGGAGAAAAUGGAAUUCCACGUGUAGCGGUGAAAUGCGUAGAUAUGUGGAAGAACACCAGUGGCGAAAGCGGUUUUCUAGUUAUUACCUGACGCUGAGGCGCGAGAGCAAGGGGAGCAAACAGGAUUAGAUACCCUAGUAGUC